rnacentral:piRNA from 1 species
UAUGAAAAUUUCCCGAAAGACAGGGACGA